rnacentral:rRNA from 1 species
AGUCUGCAACUCGACUGCACGAAGCUGGAAUCGCUAGUAAUCGCGGAUCAGCACGCCGCGGUGAAUACGUUCCCGGGCCUUGUACACACCGCCCGUCACACCAUGGAAGUCUGCAAUGCCCGAAGCCGGUGGCCUAACCACUUAUGUGGAAGGAGCCGUCUAAGGCAGGCAGAUGACUGGGGUGAAGUCGUAACAAGGUAAC